rnacentral:rRNA from 1 species
CGGAGGGAUCAUUAAAGAGUUCUAUAACUCCCAAACCCAUGUGAACAUACCUAACGUUGCCUCGGCAGGUCGCACCUACCUUGUAGCACCCUACCCUGUAGGGCCUACCCGGGAGGUGCGGGUAAGCCUGCCGGCGGCCCACCAAACUCUGUUUGAUAUUGAAUUCUGAACCUAUAACUAAAUAAGUUAAAACUUUCAACAACGGAUCUCUUGGUUCUGGCAUCGAUGAAGAACGCAGCGAAAUGCGAUAAGUAAUGUGAAUUGCAGAAUUCAGUGAAUCAUCGAAUCUUUGAACGCAUAUUGCGCCCAUUAGUAUUCUAGUGGGCAGGACCGUUCGAGCGUCAUUUCAACCCUUAAGCCUUCGUUGCUUAGUGUUGGGAGCCUACGGCAACGUAGCUCCUCAAAGUUAGUGGCGGAGUUGGUUCACACUCUAGACGUAGUAAUUUUUUAUCUCGCCUAUUAGUUGGACUAAUCCCCUGCCGUAAAACCCCCAAUUUAUCAAGGUUGACCUCGAAUCGGUUCAGACAAACUCGCUAAAUUGAAGCAUCUUAGUCAGCGAAGGAAAAGAAACCAACAGGGAUUGCCCUAGUAACGGCGAGUGAAGCGGCAACAGCUCAAAUUUGAAAUCUGGCCCUCGGGUCCG